CGCGUGGGAACGUGCCCCAAAGUGAGGAAUAACUGCCCGAAAGGGUAGCUAAUGCCGCAUAUGAUCUUCGGAUUAAAGGAUUUAUCCGCUUUGGGAGCGGCCCGCGUCGGAUUAGGUAGUUGGUGAGGUAAAGGCUCACCAAGCCGACGAUCCGUAGCUGGUCUGAGAGGAUGACCAGCCAGACUGGAACUGAGACACGGUCCAGACUCCUACGGGAGGCAGCAGUGAGGAAUCUUCCACAAUGGGCGAAAGCCUGAUGGAGCAACGCCGCGUGCAGGAUGAAGGCCUUCGGGUUGUAAACUGCUUUUAUAAGUGAGGAAUAUGACGGUAACUUAUGAAUAAGGAUCGGCUAACUACGUG
rnacentral:rRNA from 2 species